CUGUUGUUCAAGCUUCAAAUAUAUCUUGUUUAUUAUCUUUCCUUUUCUGCAAACUAAUGGACCAUAUUUCUACUCAAACAGAGGCAAAGACGUCUUCUUAAUGUUGCAGAAGUUUGGAGGCAUCAAGGAAUGCAUCCUCCUCUUGCUAUGCAAACUGAGGAAAUCAAAGUGAUGGGAAAGCAUUGUACAACAGCUGUUGACUUCAGGAUAUUUCAUGGAUGAGUUAUACUCCUUGACUCCCAUGAGUGUAUCAUCCGCUUGCUAUGCAAACCGAGGAAAUCAAAGUGGCAAAGCAAUUGAAUGCAUGUGUUGACUUCAGGAUAUCUCAAGGACGAGUUAGAAUCUAUGACGCUCAGGGAUGCAUCCUCUGCUUGCUACACAAACUGAGGAAACCAAAGCAGCAAAGCAUUGUACUGCAGAUGUCGACUUCGGAAUAUCUCAUGAACCAGUUAUACUCCUUGAUGCUCACGUAAAAUUAACUUAUUUUGCUCUCUGCAAUUGCAUAAUAGAACGGUUGAGCUAAACAUCUCGCUGCUGAUAUUUUAAAAUGUAUUGCAACCACUAUACAACCCAUCCAUCGUAAUUGAUAUGUUGAGACUGGAUCGUAGUAGUUGUUCUGCCUCAUCUAUCACUAUCUGCGGGCUUGCUUUGAUUAUGUUUCUCCCAACUUUCUGUAACUAAAAAGCAGCCUGUAAAUGUAGCUUGAAUAAAAAUGGUACCUUUCAGUUUUGUGCAAGUUCAAAGUAUUAGUAGUUUUAGUUUGUCCAAUUUUUGCAGGGAUAUUGUGUGAGGUCUGGUACAAACUUUUAAGACAAUCACUUAAUACAUUCAUGGGAUCACCAACUUUUGGCGUUUGUUGAUACUAGCUAGGUGGGGCCAUGAAGACACGAUUCAUGGGAUUACCAACUGCUGGUAUAGCUUAUUCUUUUCUGUUGCAGCUAUUCCGGAGAAGUUUAGAGCUUCUGCAACCUUUUGAAGACACGAUUUGUAGUUGCGGAGAUGAAACAAUCAAUCAGUUGCGAUGCAUUACAUAAUCUUUUUGCUUUGGACAUUGAUGGGUAUUAUUUUGCCACAAAGGACAGGAGCUGUGCCAUUUGACUCGAAGGAUAAAGCGUUCAUCACAAGGGGGUGGUCUUUAGGAUGUACACAAAAGAGGAAAUUUCCUUUUGUAUAGAACCAAAUUAUAUGAUUUAAUUGACCAUUCUCUUGUACACAAUGUUUAUCAUGUAUUAAGUACAUUUUAUUGUCAAAUAUGUUUACUUUUUUUUA